UACAGAGGCCUCAAGCGUUAGGCGGAAUCACUGGGCUUAAAGCGUGUGUAGGUGGAUGCCUAAGUGCCUUGUGAAAUCCCACGGCUUAACCGUGGAAUUGCUGGGCAUACUGGGUGUCUUGAGCCACUCAGGGGCUACCGGAACAAACGGUGGAGCGGUGAAAUGCGUUGAUAUCAGAAGGAACGCCGGUGGCGAAAGCGACAGGCUGGCCCUCUUCUGACGCUGAGGCGCGAAAGCUAGGGGAGCAAACGGG
rnacentral:rRNA from 1 species